rfam:Salmo salar isolate Sally breed double haploid chromosome ssa16, whole genome shotgun sequence.
UCCCGUGUGGCUCAGUUGGUAGAGCAUGGUGUUUGCAACGCCAGGGUUGUGGGUUCAAUUCCCACAGGGGAC